ensembl:lncRNA
UGAAGACAAGCGCUGAGUCUUGUACCGAAGAGCAAGAGUGAUACACGUAUCGGCUUUGCCACCACAUCGCGGCCCCGCAGCUGGCUGCAGAGCCUGCCAAGCAGCCAGCAGCUGCUGCUGCUGCAGGAGAAAAUGUUUUCUACAGCUGAGCAGCUGGGGCCUGUGACUGCCAUGCAAAGGCCGGAAAUAAUAGUUCAAAAUGGUGAGGAAAAAGAAGAGAGAAAAGAGGCAAAGGGAAAAGGAAGACUGAGAGAAGUAAACAAACAGAAGGAAGAGAUGGGAAGAUGGUAGAGAAUUCCCGUAGAAGGACCCUCACUGAGAGCCACAGGAUAACCACAGUUGCCAGUAGCAGCUGUGCACAGCACCUGGUUUUCCUCGGUCUGUGUGGAGAUGCUGGACUCCUCCAUUUCAG